rnacentral:rRNA from 1 species
AACGAACGCUGGCGGCAUGCCUAACACAUGCAAGUCGAACGAGACCUUCGGGUCUAGUGGCGCACGGGUGCGUAACGCGUGGGAACCUGCCUUUAGGUUCGGAAUAACUCAGAGAAAUAUGAGCUAAUACCGGGGGAUGUCUUCGGACCAAAGAUUUAUCGCCUUUAGAUGGGCCCGCGUUGGAUUAGCUAGUUGGUAGGGUAAAGGCCUACCAAGGCGACGAUCCAUAGCUGGUCUGAGAGGAUGAUCAGCCACACUGGGACUGAGACACGGCCCAGACUCCUACGGGAGGCAGCAGUGGGGAAUAUUGGACAAUGGGCGAAAGCCUGAUCCAGCAAUGCCGCGUGAGUGAUGAAGGCCUUAGGGUUGUAAAGCUCUUUUACCCGAGAUGAUAAUGACAGUAUCGGGAGAAUAAGCUCCGGCUAACUCCGUG